GCACCCGUAGCUCAGCUGGAUAGAGCAAUAGCCUCCGACGCUAUGUGCCGAUGGUUCGAAUCCAUUCGGGUGCACCA
rnacentral:tRNA from 1 species